ensembl:miRNA
GGAGGAUUGCUUGAGUCUGGGAGGUUGAGGCUGUAAUGAGUCAUGAUUGUGCCACUGCACUCCAGCCUGAGUGACAGAGCAAGACCCUGUCUC